rnacentral:rRNA from 1 species
UACGGAGGAUCCUAGUGUUAUCCGGAUUUAUUGGGUUUAAAGGGAGCGUAGGCGGGAGGUCAAGUCAGCUGUGAAAUGUAUCUGCUUAACGGGUACACUGCAGUAGAAACUGGUUUUCUUGAGUGCGUAAGAGGCAGGCGGAAUUCGUUGUGUAGCGGUGAAAUGCUUAGAUAUGACGAGGAACUCCUAUUGCGAAGGCAGCUUGCUGGGUCGUUACUGACGCUGAUGCUCGAAGGUGCGGGGAUCAAACAGGAUUAGAUA